CGCUGAAGGAGGAGCUUGCUUCUCUGGAUGAGUUGCGAACGGGUGAGUAACGCGUAGGUAACCUGCCUGGUAGCGGGGGAUAACUAUUGGAAACGAUAGCUAAUACCGCAUAAGAGUAGAUGUCGCAUGACAUUUGCUUAAAAGAUGCAAUUGCAUCACUACCAGAUGGACCUGCGUUGUAUUAGCUAGUUGGUGGGGUAACGGCUCACCAAGGCAACGAUACAUAGCCGACCUGAGAGGGUGAUCGGCCACACUGGGACUGAGACACGGCCCAGACUCCUGCGGGAGGCAGCAGUAGGGAAUCUUCGGCAAUGGACGGAAGUCUGACCGAGCAACGCCGCGUGAGUGAAGAAGGUUUUCGGAUCGUAAAGCUCUGUUGUAAGAGAAGAACGAGUGUGAGAGUGGAAAGUUCACACUGUGACGGUAUCUUACCAGAAAGGGACGGCUAACUACGUGCCAGCAGCCGCGGUAAUACGUAGGUCCCGAGCGUUGUCCGGAUUUAUUGGGCGUAAAGCGAGCGCAGGCGGUUAGAUAAGUCUGAAGUUAAAGGCUGUGGCUUAACCAUAGUACGCUUUGGAAACUGUUUAACUUGAGUGCAAGAGGGGAGAGUGGAAUUCCAUGUGUAGCGGUGAAAUGCGUAGAUAUAUGGAGGAACACCGGUGGCGAAAGCGGCUCUCUGGCUUGUAACUGACGCUGAGGCUCGAAAGCGUGGGGAGCAAACAGGAUUAGAUACCCUGGUAGUCCACGCCGUAAACGAUGAGUGCUAGGUGUUAGACCCUUUCCGGGGUUUAGUGCCGCAGCUAACGCAUUAAGCACUCCGCCUGGGGAGUACGACCGCAAGGUUGAAACUCAAAGGAAUUGACGGGGGCCCGCACAAGCGGUGGAGCAUGUG
rnacentral:rRNA from 1 species